GAGGGUAUAGCUCAGUGGUAGAAUGUGUGCUUAGCAUGCAUGAAGUCCUGGGUACAAUCCCCAGUACCUCCA
rnacentral:tRNA from 1 species